rnacentral:rRNA from 1 species
GAGCACGCCGCGUGAGGGAUGAAGGCCUCUGGGCUGUAAACCUCUUUUCUCAAGGAAGAAGAUCUGACGGUACUUGAGGAAUAAGCCACGGCUAAUUCCGUGCCAGCAGCCGCGGUAAUACGGGAGUGGCAAGCGUUAUCCGGAAUUAUUGGGCGUAAAGCGUCCGCAGGCGGCCCUUCAAGUCUGCUGUUAAAAAGUGGAGCUUAACUCCAUCGUGGCAGUGGAAACUGUUGGGCUAGAGUGUGGUAGGGGCAGAGGGAAUUCCCGGUGUAGCGGUGAAAUGCGUAGAUAUCGGGAAGAACACCAGUGGCGAAGGCGCUCUGCUGGGCCAUAACUGACGCUCAUGGACGAAAGCCAGGGGAGCGAAAGGGAUUAGAUACCCCUGUAGUCCUGGCCGUAAACGAUGAACACUAGGUGUCGGGGGAAUCGACCCCCUCGGUGUCGUAGCCAACGCGUUAAGUGUUCCGCCUGGGGAGUACGCACGCAAGUGUGAAACUCAAAGGAAUUGACGGGGGCCCGCACAAGCGGUGGAGUAUGUGGUUUAAUUCGAUGCAACGCGAAGAACCUUACCAGGGUUUGACAUCCUGCGAAUCUCCUGGAAACGGGAGAGUGCCUUCGGGAACGCAGUGACAGGUGGUGCAUGGCUGUCGUCAGCUCGUGUCGUGAGAUGUUGGGUUAAGUCCCGCAACGAGCGCAACCCACGUCUUUAGUUGCCAGCAUUCAGUUGGGCACUCUAGAGAGACCGCCGGUGAUAAACCGGAGGAAGGUGUGGAUGACGUCAAGUCAUCAUGCCCCUUACAUCCUGGGCUACACACGUACUACAAUGCUACGGACAAAGGGCAGCAAACUCGCGAGAGCUAGCAAAUCCCAUAAACCGUGGCUCAGUUCAGAUCGUAGGCUGCAACUCGCCUACGUGAAGGAGGAAUCGCUAGUAAUCGCACGUCAGCAUACUGCGGUGAAUACGUUCCCGGGCCUUGUACACACCGCCCGUCACACCAUGGAAGUUGGCCACGCCCGAAGCCGUUACUCCAACCCUUGUGGAGGAGGACGUCGAAGGUGGGGCUGAUGACUGGGGUGAAGUCGUAACAAGGUAGCCGUACCGGAAGGUGCGGCUG